GGAAAACUUGGAAUAGAACUACAUUUGACCUGGCUAUCCCACUCCUUAGUCUAUACCCAAAGGACUUAAAAACAGCAUACUACAGGGACACAGCCACAUCAAUGUUUAUUGCCCCACAGUUCACAACAGCUAAAGCGUGGAACCAACCUAGAUGCCUUUCAGUAGAUGAAUGGAUAAAGAAAUUGUGGUAUAUAUACACAAUGGAAUAUUACUCAGCAACAAAAGAAUAAAAUCAUGACAUUUGCAGGUAAAUGGAUGGAGUUGGAGAAUAUAAUUCUAAGUGAAGUUAGCCAAACUCAAAAAAACAAAUGCCUAAUGUUUUCUCUGAUAUAAGGAGUCUGAUUCAUAGUGGAGUAGGGAGGGGAAGCACUAGAAGAUUAGACGAACUCUGGUCAAUCUUAACAUCAUUAAGAGUGGGAGAAGCACCAGCUAGUGGGAUAUGUGGGGACUUAAGCUGUGGCUCCCACCGUAUGUUUUUGACCAAAGGAAAUUGAACCUGAAUGCUUUCCAUAAUAGGUUAAAUGAUCCUUUGAGAUAAAGUCAAUCAGAUCCACAAUACAGGACAUUGUGUGGAACAAUCCGGUUCCUUGGACCAGUAUAUGGCUGUGAAAGAGAAGCAUGGUACACUGUAUAUAGUAGAAAGGAACUGAAGGUGUGAGGGGCAUACUCCUUGUUUGUACCCCAGUUCACAUGAGCUGAGUGAAGACUCUGCUAGACAGUCAUUCACAUUUUGCAUGGAUGUGUUAUAGUAUGUCCAAAUGUGAAAAUGAUACUACAGAUAGGUUGUCAAAGUCCUUAUCUGUUAGCAAUACCAACCAAGGUACUUAAGGGUAACAGCAUGACAUGAGUCUCAAGAGAAAAAGUUCUUAUUAUAGCUUAACUAUAAUAUAAUGUCUUUUCAUCCAGUUAAUUUUUUUCUUUUCUUUCUGUUUAUUUUGCUUGUUCAUUUGUUUGCUCUUACUGGUGCAUUAUAGUUGUACAUAAAAAUUGGGUUCAUUUUGACAUAAUUAUGUAUGUCCC
rnacentral:lncRNA from 1 species